rnacentral:rRNA from 1 species
GACAGAGGCCUCAAGCGUUAGGCGGAAUCACUGGGCUUAAAGCGUGUGUAGGCGGGUCGUUAAGUACCUUGUGAAAUCCCACGGCUCACCCGUGGAACUGCUGGGUAUACUGGGCGAUCUUGGGCCAACUAGGGGCAACUGGAACAAGCGGUGGAGCGGUGAAAUGCGUAGAUAAUCGCUUGGAACGCCAAAGGGUGAAACAGG